rnacentral:rRNA from 1 species
UACGGAGGGAGCUAGCGUUGUUCGGAAUUACUGGGCGUAAAGGGCGCGCAGGCGGCUUUGUUUGUCAGGCGUGAAAGCCCCGGGCUUAACCUGGGAACUGCGUUUGAUACGGCAGGGCUAGAGUUCGGGAGGGGAGAGUGGAAUUCCCAGUGUAGAGGUGAAAUUCGUAGAUAUUGGGAAGAACACCGGUGGCGAAGGCGGCUCUCUGGACCGAUACUGACGCUGAGGCGCGAAAGCGUGGGGAGCAAACAGG